AGCGAACGCUGGCGGCAGGCCUAACACAUGCAAGUCGAACGAACCUUUCGGGGUUAGUGGCGGACGGGUGAGUAACACGUGGGAACGUGCCUUUAGGUUCGGAAUAACUCAGGGAAACUUGUGCUAAUACCGAAUGUGCCCUUCGGGGGAAAGAUUUAUCGCCUUUAGAGCGGCCCGCGUCUGAUUAGCUAGUUGGUUGAGGUAAUGGCUCACCAAGGCGACGAUCAGUAGCUGGUCUGAGAGGAUGAUCAGCCACAUUGGGACUGAGACACGGCCCAAACUCCUACGGGAGGCAGCAGUGGGGAAUCUUGCGCAAUGGGCGAAAGCCUGACGCAGCCAUGCCGCGUGAAUGAUGAAGGUCUUAGGAUUGUAAAAUUCUUUCACCGGGGACGAUAAUGACGGUACCCGGAGAAGAAGCCCCGGCUAACUACGUG
rnacentral:rRNA from 1 species